AACCCAUGCUGAGGACAUUUCCGUAGGAGAUCCUUGAACCUAUCCCAUAUCUCAGAAAGAGACUCCAAUUCUACUUGCACAAAAGAGGAUAUUUCAAUCUUGAGCUU